rnacentral:rRNA from 1 species
GAUGAACGCUAGCGGCAGGCCUAAUACAUGCAAGUCGAACGGUAAGGCCCUUUCGGGGUACACGAGUGGCGGACGGGUGCGUAACGCGUAUGCAACAUGCCUUCCAGCGGGGGAUAUACCAGGGAAACUUGGCGCAAUACCCCAUAGAAUUACGGGACCGCAUGGUCUUGUGAUUAAAAACUCCGGUGCUGGGAGAUUGGCAUGCGUGACAUUAGCUAGUUGGCGGGGUAACGGCCCACCAAGGCGACGAUGUCUAGCUGGUCUGAGAGGAUGAUCAGCCACACUGGGACUGAGACACGGCCCAGACUCCUACGGGAGGCAGCAGUGGGGAAUAUUGGACAAUGGGGGGAACCCUGAUCCAGCAAUGCCGCGUGUGUGAAGAAGGCCUGCGGGUUGUAAAGCACUUUAGUUAGGGAGAGUGUUUGAAGGUUAAGAGCUAUCAAGCAGGACGUUACCUAAAGAUAAGCACGGCUAACUCCGUGCCAGCAGCCGCGGUAA